CCCUUAGAUGUCCUGGGCCGCACGCGCGCUACACUGAACGGAUCAGCGCGUUUUCCCUUCCCGAGAGGGACGGGUAACCUGCUGAACCCCGUUCGUGGUAGGGAUCGGGGCUUGCAAUUAUUCCCCGUGAACCAGGAAUGCCCAGUAAGUGCAAGUCAUAAGCUUGCGUUGAUUACGUCCCUGCCCUUUGUACACACCGCCCGUCGCUACUACCGAUUGAACAUUUUAGUGAGGUACUCGGACUGAGCCUCAGAAGAUUCACGUCUUUUGUGCUGCUCGGGAAGAUUCCCAAACUUGAGCGUUUAGAGGAAGUAAAAGUCGUAACA
rnacentral:rRNA from 1 species